rnacentral:rRNA from 1 species
GUGAUUCAAGAUAGCCAUGCACGUCUAAGUACAAACUAAAUGAUGGUGAAACUGCAAAUGGGCUCAUUACAACGGUUAUGAUGUACCCGGGAGUUCCGAUGGAUAUUUCCAGUAACACUAGAACUAAUACAUGUCCCUGCGUUUAUUAGUUUCGCACAGUCCGUCGCUGAGUCAUGGUAAACAGUUGAUCGACUCGACGUCCCGGAACAGUUUCCGCCCCAUCAGCUUCGAUGGUUGGGUAUUGGCCUACCAUUGCAACAACGGGUAACGAGGAAUUAGGGUUUGAUUUCGGAGAGGGAGCCUGAGAAACGGCUACCACAUCUACGGAUGGCAGCAGGCGCGCAAAUUACCCAAUGCAGACACUGUGAGGUAGUGACGAGAAAUAAUAAAGCGGGACUUCUGUUUCGCUAUUAUAAUGAGGAAUAACCAAAGGUCAUUCCGAUUAGCAACUGAUGGGAAAGUCUGGUGCCAGCAGCCGCGGUAAUACCAGCGUCAGUAGC